CGCUAGCGGCAGGCUUAACACAUGCAAGUCGAGGGGUAGAAGCAGCUUGCUGUCUUUGAGGACCGGCGCGACGGGUGCGUAACGCGUAUGCAAUCUACCUUUUACAGAGGGAUAGCCAGAGAAUUUGGAUUAAUACCUCAUAGUAUGUGAGAAUCGCAUUGGUUUUCACAUUAAAGUUCCAACGGUAAAAGAUGAGCAUGCGUCCCAUUAGCUAGAUGGUAAGGUAACGGCUUACCAUGGCGACGAUGGGUAGGGGUCCUGAGAGGGAGAUCCCCCACACUGGUACUGAGACACGGACCAGACUCCUACGGGAGGCAGCAGUGAGGAAUAUUGGACAAUGGGCGCAAGCCUGAUCCAGCCAUGCCGCGUGCAGGAUGACGGUCCUAUGGAUUGUAAACUGCUUUUGUACAGGAAGAAACACUCCCUCGUGAGGGAGCUUGACGGUACUGUAAGAAUAAGGAUCGGCUAACUCCGUG
rnacentral:rRNA from 1 species